GAACAACGUAGUAUUCCUUGACGAGACAUGGUUGAACGCCAAUCAUACUGUUGGCAAAGUAUGGACAGACGACACUGCUCAUUCUUCCACUAAAGUACCGGAGGGUAAAGGCGAACGACUAAUAAUUUGCCACGCGGGCACAGUUAAUGGGUUUGUUGACAACUCACUUCUCGCGUUUAAGUCCAAAAAGACGGGAGACUAUCAUGAAAAAAUGAAUGCGGAACAAUUUAAAGAACGGUUUAUUAGAAUGAUGAACAACUUAAAGGAACCGAACACCAUUAUUAUGGAUAAUGCGCCAUACCAUUCGGUUCAACUGACUAAAGCGCCUACAUCGUGUCACAACAAAGUGCAACAUGUCGAGUAACUAAAAAAAAAAAAAAAAAUUGACGCUGACAUGACAAUGUUGAAGGCGAAGCUAGGCCAAUUGGUGCAGCUUCACAAGCCGAGGCGGCCGACGUACGAACUCGACGAGAUGGCUAAACAGCGCGGUCAUCAAGUUUUGCGCCUACCACCAUACCAUUGCCAGUACAACGCAAUUGAACUAAUUUGGGCUGAAAUAAAAGGUAACGGCUGGAAAUUGGAGUAAUGUCAUAGAAGAGGUUAAAAACGUCAUACGCGGCACAACAGUGGACGAAAGUUUUAUUUUAUAUGUAGGAUUGGAAUCGGAGGAGUCUUCCUUUUCGUCGAUUAAGACAGAUAGUGAAUAAAUUGAAUAAUUUAA